UGCUAACCUUUCCCUUGGUGUUCCGUUGCUGUUCCAGGCCGGCGCGGUGAACAAGCAGGGCGACAGCAUUCUGUGCCGCUGAGCCGCGCUGUGCAGGUGUGCGGCCGCUGAGCCCGAGCCAGGAGCACUAGAGAGGGAGGGGGAAAGAGCAGAAGUUAGAGAAAAAGCCACCCGAGGAAAGGAGGAAAAAAAAAAAAAAAAAAAAGAAAGAAAUCAGCAAAUCCUAGGAAAGUUACAUUCGUCAUUCCAAGAGGGAGGGGGGAAGAAAAAUAAAACUUUCAUCUUUUUUUUUUUUUGCACGUUCAUAAACAUUCUACAUAUGUAUUCUCUUUUGUCUCUUCAUUUAUAACCGCUGUGAAAUGUACAUUUCUGUGUUUUCGGAGGUGCAGUUAAACUUUUAAGCUUAAGUGUGACAGGACUGAUAAAUAGAAGAUCAAGAGUAAAUCAACUUUAGAAGCCUACUUUGUGACCAAGGAGCUUAAUUUUGUUUUGAAGCUUUACUAAUAUAACAGAGCAUUGUAGAUAUUUUUUUUUUGACAUCUAUUGUUUAAAAUAGAUGAUUAUAAUGGGGGGCAGGGAACUUUCUUUUCCCUGCAAGAAUGUUACAUAUUGUAUAGAUAACUGAGUGACAUUUCAUACCAUGUAUAUAUAGAGAGAUGUUCUAUAAGUGUGAGAAAGUAUAUGCUUUAAUAGACUACUGUAAUUAUAAGAUAUUUUUAAUUAAAUAUUUUUUGUAAAUAUUAUGUGUGUGGUUUUUUUUAAUCUAUGGGAUUAUUUCUUUUGGAAAAUUAUUUUUCAGCUCCAUUGCAGAGCUCUCAAUAUCUUGAAUGUCUUUUUCUGUUUGGCCUAGCAUUUGAUUUGUUUUUUGUUUUAUCUAGUGUCGUGUAGACUUGGAAGUAAUAGUUAGAGCUAGUGGUCCAGCAUGACUGCAUGAGAUGUUUAAUCACAAAAUAAACUUGUUCUGAGUCCAUUCAAAUGUGUUUUCUUUAACCUAGAUUUAAAUCUUUGUAUUUGAAACAUACCUGUUGGAAAUACACUUUAUCAGUUUUUAAGCACAGGGUUCGAUAGUGUAAUAUAUAAAGAGUAAGUGUCUGCUUUUUAACUGAAGACAAAAUGGAUUCUGAAUGGUUUUGCAUAUGGGACGGGGAAAAGCUUGGAUCCUUCAGGAGUUUAUGAAAUCUGUUUUAUCAAAGUGAAAAAAAUGCUUAUCAUUCUUCAUUUUACACGAAAGCUUAAUGCCACUGCGUUUCAUGUCUGUACAGAUUAUUUAAGUCAUAGAAAUGAAAAAUGUUCUCUGCUUGCUACCAAAGGACAAACUCUUGGAAAUGAACAUUUUCUGCUCUCCUUCCUCCAAAGAAUAUUAAUAGGCAACAGUGGGAGAAAAAACAAGGCAUAAUGGCAAAUCCUUCAAGCAGGGAUAAAAGUCGAUCUUCAAACAUUAACUUAAGUAGACCAAAAAAUUCUGAUGACCGCAUCUAGAUUAUUUUUUUAUGAAAAUGAUUUUCACUAUAGCUAUGUUAGUUACUGCUAAACUACUGUCCAAUCUCUUGUGAUGUGUAACUUUUACAUGUGAAUAUUAAAGUAGAUUUAUCUGUCUUGUACUGUGA